ncrna:unclassified sequences NMT1 RNA
AUCAAGAGUAGAAGCGUUCAGCACGGUGCUCUGGCCCUUGUCGGUCAGCAGCUUCGCGGGUCGUUGCUCUUGAA